rnacentral:rRNA from 1 species
GGCGAACGCUGGCGGCGUGCCUAACACAUGCAAGUCGAGCGGAGAAAUUAAAGCUUGCUUUAAUUUCUUAGCGGCGGACGGGUGAGUAACACGUGGGCAACCUGCCCUUGGGAGGGGGAUAACACAGAGAAAUUUGUGCUAAUACCGCAUAACAUUUAGACUUCGCCUGGAGUUUAAAUCAAAGGAGUAAUCCGCUCAAGGAUGGGCCCGCGGCGCAUUAGCUAGUUGGUGAGGUAAUGGCUCACAAAGGCGACGAUGCGUAGCCGACCUGGGAGGGUGAUCCGCCACAGUGGAACUGGGACGCGGUCCAGGCUCCUACGGGAGGCAGCAGUGGGGAAUAUUGCGCAAUGGGGGGAACCCCUGACGCAGCAACGCCGCGUGAGCGAUGAAGGCCUUCGGGUUGUAAAGCUCUGUCUUUGGGGACGUUAAUGACGGUACCCAAGGAGGAAGCCACGGCUAACUACGUGCCAGCAGCCGCCGUAAGAC